ensembl:lncRNA novel transcript
AACCAAAGAGCUGGGCCAUCCGUGGCAAUGCCUCCCAGGCUUGGGAGCUGGGAAAAGGCCCCAGGAGCUAGGGCAUCCUGAUUGUUCUUUCAAAGAAAUCCCUCUUGUUCUUAGUCAACAUGCUGGAUACCAGCUAAAAAAUGCAAAAUGAUCUUCAGGCAGGGAUGGCACAGGACCCUUGCUGAGCUGUGAAGCCUGGCUGUGAGGAUUCCUGCAUGGAAACAUCAACAUGUUGCCAGAUUGGUAUACGACUCAACACCACACUGAUUCUCCGGAGAAAAAGGCUGGCUCGCAAGAGGAUGCCAGAAGAGUGACAUCUCCCUCAUCAGCGCUUUGCCUCUUAAGACAUGCUGCUCCCAAACAGUGCCUUUGAAUCAAGACCCAGUCAUCGUAUUCGAAGAAAAAGGAAAUAUCCCUGACCAUGUUGGGACUUAACACUGCUUCACAGAGCUACCCAAACCAAGGAGAAUACCAACGUGAAUUGUCUUUCCACCUGUUGUGUGGGGCCAGCAAUUAUUCUUUUAGCUUGACGCGUUAACCCACCUGCUCCCUGUGGCCCUGGGAUGCUCUGCCAUCCCCCGUGGCUGCCAGUUCACUUAGGGUAGACUUAUGGCAGAGGGAUGUCAAUUUUGCUUGAACUGCUCAAUCACUGCUGACAUUUCGUUAACCACCCUAUGAACUUCUCAAGCCUGAAGUAGCAGCAACUUGUGCCCUUGAAAACUGAACAGAAAACAACUGUAUUGAUUUUCUACUAUCAACAAGAAAAAGACAAUUUCUCUUUGCUGAGAAUGUUCAUAAUGCAUUUUACACCACUUAUUCUCGGCAGUCCACCUCUUCCUGAUAUAUUGUUGGGCCUCUUUAAACCCCUGCUGCUUUAGACUCUGCUAGAAUUAACCCUGAAAUGCCAGCACCAUCUCAAGCCCUUCCAGUUCCCGGAUAGAAAUGUUCAUCAGUGCUGAAUUGACAGCCUACUUAGGCAAGGGAGCUGUGAUCAUUUAGAAAUUACAAAGGAACUCAGGCCUGGGUGAAGGGUUUGGGGUUGGGACACUAGGAAUCUCUUUUAGUAAAAUUCUCUUUUAAAAGAACAUAUCUCUUUGGUUUGUUAAAAGCACUAAUGAUGUCUAUAUGAUAUUUUGGAGAUAUAUCAGCAUAUACACUGACCAAACUGAUUGAAUAGGAAGUAAUUUUCAGUAAUUUUUACCACUCAUGCAACCAUUCUUGCUAACUCAAGACCCAAGAUUUAACUUGUGUAUGAUUAUUCCAAAUUACCAGGCCUUUCUUUUCUUUUUCAACCUGCAUUAAAAAAAAAAAAAAAAAAAAAAAAAAACUAUCAGGCAUGCCCUAAUAGUUCCAUUUUUUUUGAAAUUUCCAACAUACCAAAAAGAGACUCCAAGGAACUGAAAGAGAUUCAAGAAGCUUGAAAAAGCAAGCCUGACCCUCUGGGACAACUGUAGUGUCAAAAGCAGUCAAUAUUUAUGCCUAGCAACCUUGACAAUAUCCUUUUAAUUAAAAUCAAUGGAGAAAUAAAACAUGCAUUAGAAUGCACGUGGGAUCACUCACCUCACGAGACAGAGAAGGAAGACUCUGAUAUUAUGCACGAUGUGAUUAUGACAAGACGCUGGAUCUUCUGUAUGAGACAUGGGUUCUGGUAUUUGCAAUUAGAUCUCUUCUUUUGACGG